UGUUAAAGCAGGCAGAUCCAAUUUUCUGCCACCGAAUACAUUAGCAUGGGAUAAUGGAAUAGGACCCUGUCCUCCUAUUUUCAGUUGGUUUGCCGCGAGGACCAGGGUAAUGAUUAAUAGGGAUAGUUGGGGGCAUUAAUAUUUAAUUGUCAGAGGUGAAAUUCUUGGAUUUAUGAAAGAUUAACUUCUGCGAAAGCAUCUGCCAAGGAUGUUUUCAUUAAUCAAGAACGAAAGUUAGGGGAUCGAAGACGAUCAGAUACCGUCGUAGUCUUAACCAUAAACGAUGCCGACCAGCGAUUAGGAGACGUUGAAUACAAAACACCACCAUGCGCAUUGCGGUCGUCUUUGGUGUCGCUCACAAGGCGGCACCGGGGCGGCUUAGCUCGCAUGCACCGCA
rnacentral:rRNA from 1 species